UCCCACCCGUGUCUACAUACUCUUGUUGCUUUGGCAGGCCGUGGUCUCCACUGUGGGCUCUGCCUGCAUGUGCCUGCCAGAGGAUCAAACUCUGAAUUUUAGUGAUGUCUGAGUACUAUAUAAUAGUUAAAACUUUCAACAACGGAUCUCUUGGUUCUGGCAUCGAUGAAGAACGCAGCGAAAUGCGAUAAGUAAUGUGAAUUGCAGAAUUCAGUGAAUCAUCGAAUCUUUGAACGCACAUUGCGCCCUGUGGUAUUCCGCAGGGCAUGCCUGUUCGAGCGUCAUUAUAACCACUCAAGCCUGGCUUGGUAUUGGGGUUUGCGGUUCCGCAGCUCCUAAAAUCAGUGGCGGUGCCGGUGUGGCUCUACGCGUAGUAAUUCUUCUCGCGAUGGAGUUCCCCUGGUUGCUUGCCAGAACCCCCCAAUUUUUAUCAGGUUGACCUCGGAUCAGGUAGGGAUACCCGCUGAACUUAAGCAUAUCAAUAAGCGGAGGA
rnacentral:rRNA from 1 species